rnacentral:rRNA from 1 species
GAUGAACGCUGGCGGCGUGCCUAAUACAUGCAAGUCGAGCGAACAGACGAGUAGCUUGCUCCUCUGACGUUAGCGGCGGACGGGUGAGUAACACGUGGAUAACCUACCUAUAAGACUUGGAGAACUUCGGCAAACCGGAGCUAAUACCGGAUAAUAUAUUGAACCUGAUGGUUCAAUAGUGAAAGACGGAUUUGCUGUCACUUGGGGAUGGAUCCGCGCCGCAUUAGCUAGUUGGUAAGGUAACGGCUUACCAAGGCAACGAUGAGUAGCCGACCUGAGAGGGUGAUCGGCCACCAUGGAACUGAGACACGGUCCAGACUCCUACGGGAGGCAGCAGUAGGGAAUAUUACGCAAUGGGCGGAAGCUUGACGGAGCAACGACGCGUGAGUGAUGAAGGUCUUCGGAUCGUAAAACUCUGUUAUUAGGGAAGAACAAAUGUGUAAGUAACUAUGCACGUCUUGACGGUACCUAAUCAGAAAGCCACGGCUAACUACGUG